rnacentral:lncRNA from 1 species
GCACUUUGGGAGGCCGAGGCGGGUGGAUCACGAGGUCAGGAGAUCGAGACCAUCCUGGCUAACACAGUGAAACCCCAUCUCUACUAAAAAUACAAAAAAUUAGCCGGGUGUAGAGGCAGGCACCUGUAGUCCCAGCUACUCGGGAGGCUGAGGCAGGAGAAUGGGGUGAACCCGGGAGGCGGAGCUUGCAGUGAGCCGAGAUCACGCCACUGCACUCCAGCCUGGGCAACAGAGCGAGACUCUGUCUCAAAAAAAUAAAAAGAAAGUAGCACGCAGCCAGCACCUCCUCUACCACUGAGGACUCUGGAGCUUUAGAGAGGGCCAGCAUCUUGGCAAGGGGCUAUGGGAGCUAACAGUAAGCCAGAAGGGGGUUUCUGCUCAUUUGUUCCCAAUUUGCACAUGCUGAUUAGAAGCUGAGCCUUUCAUUGUCCUGAUAGGGAGGCCUAAUGCCCUCUCCCCAAAGAUUAAAAAUGCUCUAGCUGUGGGGACACUUAAAGCCUCUAGUUUUCUGGCCUGGAGGCCUCAGUUCCAAGCCUUUAAGAAGUUCUACCCUUUGAUGAAUUCCAUCUUCUGCCCACCAAGCAUUGCAUCCUGAUGCCAGGAGCUGACCUGGAGAAAUUCCAGCCACAUGUACCCCACCACUUAUCAGCUCUUUUAGCCCAGAAAGAGAUUCUCACUGGUCUUCUAAGAACCUCUCUCUUCCAUCAGUCACCACCAUCUGUCUACAUACAACAGAAGACAAAUUCCCCCUGGACCUAAGUUUCAGGCCCCCCUCUGACACAUGAUCAUUUGGCAAACAACCAAAAUCAGCAACUGAGAGCAUGUGGCAGGGCAAUACUGAAUAUAUACAAAGCUGUCAUCAUUUCAGGGAAAAAAAAACAAAUAUCCAACUAGAAAGUGAGCAAAAGACAUAAAUAGACAUUUUGCAGAAGAAGAUUUGCAGAUGGCAAAUAUGCACAUGGAGAUACCCCUUCAACAUUAUUAUCCAUUUGGGAAAUUCAUAUUAAAACCACAAUGAGAUAUCAUUAAAUACCUUCAGAAUGGCUAUGAAAAAAUAGUGACAACACCAAAUGCUGGCAAGGAUGCAGAGAAAUGGGAUCACUCACCCACGGCUCAUGAGAAUGUAAAAUGGUACAGAUACUCUGGAAAAUAGUUUAGCGGUUUGUUAAAAAACUAAACAUGCAAUCAACUUAUGAACUAGUGAUUGUAUUCCGAAGCAUUUAUCAUCGUAAAUGAUAGAAAUGUUCUGUAUCUUGACUAUAUCAAUGUCAAUAAGCUGGUUGUGAUAUUGCACUACUGUUUUGCAAGAUGUUACCGCUGGGAGAAACUGCAUAAUGGGUACACAGGCUCUGCCUGUAUCAUUUCUUACAUGUGAAUCUAGGAUCAUCUCAAAGCAAAGGCUUAACCGGAAAACAAAAACUGACCACCCCUCCCCCUAAUUUUUCUUCUCACAUUGAGAAGUACAGUAAAGUAC